rnacentral:rRNA from 1 species
AGGGGGCUAGCGUUGUUCGGAAUCACUGGGCGUAAAGCGUAUGUAGGCGGAUCAAAAAGUUAGAUGUGAAAUCCCUGGGCUCAACCCAGGAACUGCAUUUAAAACUAGUGAUCUAGAAUUUGGUAGGGGUUAGUAGAAUUUCCAGUGUAGAGGUGAAAUUCGUAGAUAUUGGAAAGAAUACCAGUGGCGAAGGCGACUAACUGGGCCAUUUUUGACGCUGAGAUACGAAAGCGUGGGUAGCAAACAGGAUUAGAUACCCUGGUAGUCCACGCAGUAAACGAUGAGUGCUAGUCGCUGGGACAAUAGUUUCAGUGUCGAAGCUAACGCAUUAAGCACUCCGCCUGGGAAGUACGGUCGCAAGAUUAAAACUCAAAUAAAUUGACGGGGGCCCGCACAAGCGGUGGAGCAUGUGGUUUAAUUCGAAGCAACGCGAAGAACCUUACCAGACCUUGACAUGGUAUGUUUGAAUUACAGAAUCGUAAUUCUUCAGUUCGGCUGGCAUACACACAGGUGCUGCAUGGCUGUCGUCAGCUCGUGUCGUGAGAUGUUGGGUUAAGUCCCGCAACGAGCGCAACCCUCAUUUUUAGUUGCCAUCAGGUUAAGCUGGGCACUCUAAAAAAACUGCCGGUGAUAAGCUGGAGGAAGGCGGGGAUGACGUCAAGUCCUCAUGGCCCUUACGGUCUGGGCUACACACGUGCUACAAUGGUGGUGACAGUGGGCAGCAAUACUGCAAAGUAAAGCUAAUCCCAAAAAACCAUCUCAGUUCGGAUUGGACUCUGCAACUCGAGUCCAUGAAGUUGGAAUCGCUAGUAAUCGUAGAUCAGCGUGCUACGGUGAAUACGUUCUCGGGCCUUGUACACACCGCCCGUCACGCCAUGGGAGUUGGUUUUACCUUAAGCCGGUGCGCUAACCGCAAGGAAGCAGCCGUCCACGGUAGGGUCAGCGACUGGGGCGAAGUCGUAACAAGGUA